CCCAUCCUAUGCUUCUUCUCUACAACACUUCGAGCAAGCUCUGCCAGAUCCUAGAAUCUGGAAGAGCCUCUCCAGCUACUUGGCUGUGGCAAGCAUAUUGGCCAACUUUGUUCUCCUACUUGGGAUACUAACCCAGUUUACACCUGUUCAGAUACACCAUUGCCCGAAGAAGAGAAGCAAGGGAGUUUCUCUGCUGAACACAGAACAUGCCACAAAUAGAAAUGUCCUUAAAGGUCAACAAGCCACCUGAAACUAAUUUCCUGUCACCUGCGUGCGGUGGAUGAAUGCUAGCAAUGGCACUGGGGUGGGCACAGCCUUCUGCUCCCUCCCUAAUUCAUCAGAUGUGCCCCGGGUACUCCAGAGCC